CCCUUAGAUGUUCUGGGCUGCACGCGCGCUACACUGAAGCUAUCAACACGUUUUCCCUCCCUGAGAAGGGCGGGUAACCUUUUGAAUCAGCUUCGUGGUAGGGAUCGGGGCUUGCAAUUGUUCCCCGUGAACCAGGAAUUCCUAGUAGACGCGAGUCAUAAGCUCGCAUCGAUUAAGUCCCUGCCCUUUGUACUCACCGCCCGUCGCUACUACCGAUUGAACGUUUUAGUGAGGCAUUUGGACCGACGCAUCUCAGUUUAACCGCUGGUUUGUGUUGGAAAGACUUCCAAACUUGAGCGUUUAGAGGAAGUAAAAGUCGUAACA
rnacentral:rRNA from 1 species